AUCGUAGAGUAGCCUUGUUGUUACGAUCGAUUGAGCCUAAGCCGGCCGUUGUCUUUGCUUGCACCCCAUUUAUUAUUCUAGCGAGUUCUAGGGUGUUUAAGGGGUUAUUUAGUUAAGAGGAUAGGGGAAUCAAAGGUGGUAAUUUUUCAAAAAUCACCAAAUGCAUAUAGAUUUGAACUUUCUAGGAGCCCAAAGGGAUGUGUAAAGCUCCGUUCAAAAGCGAAAUUUAGGGCCGUAAAUCUCACAGAGGAUUGCUGUUCAGUUUGUCAACUUCCUGGGCAUAACCCAAUGAAGUGUGAAACGGGUUCACUUAACAGAACAAGAAGCAUUGGAGCAAAUAAUGCCCGAAAACCCAAUUUAAUGAUAGAAAAUAUAAAAAUCGUUUCACUAAAUGUACAACAUGUCCAAUGACAAAGACA
rnacentral:misc_RNA from 1 species